rnacentral:rRNA from 1 species
UACAGAGGUCCCAAGCGUUGUUCGGAUUCACUGGGCGUAAAGGGUGCGUAGGCGGUCGGGUAAGUCUGAUGUGAAAUCUCACAGCUUAACUGUGAAACUGCAUUGGAUACUAUUCGGCUUGAGAGUUGGAGGGGGGACUGGAAUUCUUGGUGUAGCAGUGAAAUGCGUAGAUAUCGGGAGGAACAUCUGUGGCGAAGGCGGCCACCUGGACCAACACUGACACUGAGGCACGAAAGCGUGGGGAGCAAAUAGG